GACGAACGCUGGCGGCGUGCUUAACACAUGCAAGUCGAACGGAAAGGCCUGCUUUCCCUUGUGGAUUGCGGGUACUCGAGUGGCGAACGGGUGAGUAACACGUGAGUGAUCUGCCCCCAACUUGGGUAUAAGCCUGGGAAACUGGGUCUAAUUCCCGAUAGGACUGCAGGGUGGUGCCUGUGGUGGAAAACGAUUUUCUAGUGGUUGGGGAUGAGCUCGCGGCCUAUCAGCUUGUUGGUGGGGUAAUGGCCUACCAAGGCGGCGACGGGUAGCCGGCCUGAGAGGGUGGACGGCCACAUUGGGACUGAGAUCAGGCCCAGACUCCUACGGGAGGCAGCAGUGGGGAAUAUUGCACAAUGGGCGGAAGCCUGAUGCAGCGACGCCGCGUGGGGGAUGACGGCCUUCGGGUUGUAAACUCCUUUCGACCGCGAGGAAGCCACCUGGUUGGAAGGGUGGUGACGGUAGUGGUAGAAGAAGCACCGGCUAACUACGUG
rnacentral:rRNA from 1 species